rnacentral:piRNA from 1 species
ACAAUAGCAGUAUAUAACAUCACAAAGCAAA